CCUACGGGAGGCAGCAGUGAGGAAUAUUGGACAAUGGGCGCAAGCCUGAUCCAGCCAUGCCGCGUGCAGGAAGAAGCAUCUAUGGUGUGUAAACUGCUUUUGUACAGGAAGAAACACUCCCUCGUGAGGGAGCUUGACGGUACUGUAAGAAUAAGGACCGGCUAACUCCGUGCCAGCAGCCGCGGUAAUACGGAGGGUCCGAGCGUUAUCCGGAAUCAUUGGGUUUAAAGGGUCCGUAGGCGGUUUAAUAAGUCAGUGGUGAAAUCUGGCCGCUCAACGAUCAAACGGCCAUUGAUACUGUUAGACUUGAAUUAUAAGGAAGUAACUAGAAUAUGUAGUGUAGCGGUGAAAUGCUUAGAUAUUACAUGGAAUACCAAUUGCGAAGGCAGGUUACUACUUAUGGAUUGACGCUGAUGGACGAAAGCGUGGGGAGCGAACAGGAUUAGAUACCCUGGUAGUCCACGCCGUAAACGAUGGAUACUAGCUGUUCGGAGCAAUCUGAGUGGCUAAGCGAAAGUGAUAAGUAUCCCACCUGGGGAGUACGUUCGCAAGAAUGAAACUCAAAGGAAUUGACGGCUGAGACGAGCGAGACGACGACGAGGGAGGAGG
rnacentral:rRNA from 1 species